UGUCAAGUACUUAUCAAGUCCUUCAAGUCCUUAGAUAUAAAUGAGUGAACCAGAGUCGAAGGUAGAGCAACCUCGGGAG